UACGAGUGCCCCGAGCGUUAUCCGGAAUCAUUGGGCGUAAAGGGUGUGUAGGUGGCACGAUUAGUCAAUUGUUAAAACCCGGGGCUUAACCCCGGAAGUGCGAUUGAAACGGUCGAGCUAGAGGAUGCGAGGGGUCUGUGGAACUCAUGGAGUAGGGGUGAAAUCCGUUGAUAUCAUGGGGAACACCGAAAGCGAAGGCAGCAGACUGGCGCAUUCCUGACACUGAAACACGAAAGCGUGGGUAGCGAAUGGG
rnacentral:rRNA from 1 species